GGUAACCCGCUGGGGUCCCCUUCUACACUGUGGAAGCUUUGUUCUUUGCAAUAAAUCUUGCUACUGCUUACUCUUUGGGUCCACAUUGCUUUUAUGAGCUAUAACACUCACCGCGAAGGUCUGCAGCUACACUCCUGAAGCUAGCGAGACCAUGAGCCCACUGGGAGGAAAAAACAACUCCAGACGCGCUGCCUUAAGAGCUGUAACACUCACCGCGAAGGUCUGCAGCUUCACUCCUGAGCCAGCGAGACCACGAACCCAACAGAAGGAAAAAUCUCCGAACACAUCCAAACAUCAGAAGGAACAAACUCCAGUGCGCCACCUUAAGAGCUGUAACACUCACCACGAGGGUCCGCGGCUUCAUUCCUGAAGUCAGUGAGACCAAGAACCCGCCAAUUCCAGACACGUUUUGGCAACCCAGAUGGGACUUUCGCCUAUCGCCAAGUGGUGAGACAAUCGCCGAGCAGUGAGACCAUCGCCUAUUGCUGAGCAAAUUGAGGCCAUCAAGCUACAGAUGGUCUUACAAAUGGAACCCCAAAUGAGUUCAACUAACAACUUCUACCGAGGACCCCUGGACCGACCCACUGGCACUUCCCCUGGCCUAGAGAGUUCCCCUCUGAAGGACACCACAACUACAGGGCCCCUUCUUCGCCUCUAUCCAGCAGGAAGUAGCUAGAGUGGUCAUCGGCCAAAUUCCCAACAGCAGUUGGGGUGUCCUGUUUAGAGGGGGGAUUGAGAGAUGACAGCGUGCUGGCAGUCCUCACAGCCCUCGCUCGCUCUCGGCGUCUCCUCUGCCUGGGCUCCCACUUUGGCGGCACUUGAGGAGCACUUCAGCCCACUGCUGCACUGUGGGAGCCCCUUUCUGGGCUGGCCGAGGCUGGAGCCGGCUCCCUCAGCUUGCAGGGAGGUGUGGAGGGAGAGGUGCGAGUGGGAACCCGGGCUGUGCGCGGCGCUUGUGGGCCAGCUGGAGUUCCGGGUGGGCGUGGGCUUGGUGGGCCCCGCACUCGGAGCAGCCGGCCGGCCCUGCCAGCCCCGGGCAAUGAGGGGCUUAGCACCCGGGCCAGCGGCUGCGGAGGGUGUACUGGGUCCCCCAGCAGUGCCAGCCCGCUGGCGCUGCGCUCGAUUUCUCACCAGGCCUUAGCUGCCUUCCCAUGGGGCAGGGCUCGGGACCGGCAGCCCAUCAUGCCUGAGCCUCCCACCCCCUCCGUGGGCUCCCAAGCCUCC
ensembl:lncRNA novel transcript